rnacentral:rRNA from 1 species
GACGAACGCUGGCGGCGUGCUUAACACAUGCAAGUCGAACGGGCCCGCUCUCUUUUUUGGGGGUGGGUUGAGUGGCGAACGGGUGAGUAUCACGUGAGUAACCUGCCCCCUGCUCCUGGAUAACUGCUUGAAAGGGCGGCUAAUACGGGGUGUGCCGGCUGGUCCGCAUGGGGCUGGUCGGGAUAGUUUCAUCUUCGGGUGUUUCGGCGGGGGAUGGGCUCGCGGCCUAUCAGCUUGUUGGGGGGGUGAUGGCCCACCAAGGCGGGGACGGGUAGCCGGCCUGAGAGGGUGGGCGGCCAGACUGGGACUGAGACACGGCCCAGACUCCGGCGGGAGGCAGCAGGGGGGGGUAGGGCACAAUGGGCGGAAGCCUGAUGCAGCGACGUCGCGUGAGGGAUGGAGGCCUUCGGGGUGUGAAACUCUUUCUCCGGGGGUGAAGGCCCUGUCCGUUGCGGCGGGGUUGACGGUAGCCGGGGAUGAAGCGCCGGCUAACUACGUG